rnacentral:rRNA from 1 species
UACGAAGGGGGCUAGCGUUGCUCGGAAUCACUGGGCGUAAAGGGUGCGUAGGCGGGUCCUUAAGGCCUGCGUGAAAUCCUGCGGCUCAACCGCAGACGGUCGUGGGAAACUGGAAGGCUAGAGUGCGGGAGAGGAGAGUGGAAUUCCCGGUGUAGCGGUGAAAUGCGCAGAUAUCGGGAAGAACACCCGUGGCGAAGGCGGCUCUCUGGAACGCAACUGACGCUGAGACGCGAAAGCGUGGGGAGCAAACAGG